rnacentral:rRNA from 1 species
AUUGAACGCUGGCGGCAGGCCUAACACAUGCAAGUCGAGCGAGCGGCGGCAGGGUGAGUAAUGUCUGGGAAACUGCCUGAUGGAGGGGGAUAACUACUGGAAACGGUAGCUAAUACCGCAUACCAUCAGAUGUGCCCAGGUGGGUUUGGCUAGUAGGUGGGGUAACGGAUCACUUUGGCGACGAUCCCUAGCUGGUCUGAGAGGAUGACCAGCCACACUGGAACUGAGACACGGUCCAGACUCCUACGGUAGGCAGCAGUGGGGAAUAUUGCAAAAUGGGCGCAAGCCUGAUUCAGCCAUGCCGCGUGUGUGAAGAAGGCCUUCGGGUUGUAAAGCACUUUCAGCGGGGAGGCGUUACCCGCAGAAGAAGCACCGGCUAACUCCGUGCCAGCAGCCGCGGUAAUAC